UGCCGCUAUCUACAUUUCCCUCUGGCAUAUCCCACACACAAGCCGAUCGAUACUACCGUUACUCUUCGAGAAAUAUCAAUAUUCGAGCGCCACCAUAUCUCUGGCACUGUGGGUCUUUAAUUCUGACACUUAAGUGGUUUGCAAUGCGCUUAUCAUUAUCCAACAGCAGAGACAUGCUUUUGAUUUCGUUAUCAGUUUUGAAAAUUCCUUACGUACAGUCCUGCGAGGGAAAUUCUUUUUGUAUCGCAGUUUGUUGCAUAAGAAGAGCUUAUUAAUUAAUAGUCUGUCCUGUUAAUUUGUCUGCGAUUGGACUCGAAUCAUUUGUAAAAGUCUAUCGGUUUAGCUAAACCAUCUCGGCGUCAGAGGCCUGACACCUUCCACUAACUUGCCGGGGAUCCUUCUUUGAACUUUAAAAGCAUUUACAGAAGACUGAAGAAAUUCAAUAGAACUUAUGAAAAACUAUACAUAAAUAAAAGCUGUCAAACAACCAACGUGCAAAAGAAGACAAAUUGUACAAAAACUAUAUAAAUGACUCUGAGAGGAUGAGUUGUCGAAUCCCAGAAAGUGAGUCCGUAGGUUGUGGGAUCCAUUCAGAGUUGAGAGACUGCAAUCUCCAUGAAGUUUUGCUUCUCAACUGGAUCGGCUGCUAACAAAACAGAGUGACCUUGGUACUUGUUACAUUGCAGAUAAGAAGCCUGGCAAAGCGUCACCGAGCAUGCACGUGUGUGACCUUGUGAUGCCUACAGCUUGCAACUUGCUGCCGUGCAAAGUUCUGAUAUCGCCGUUAAAUUGCAAACAAAAGGAGGAGGAGGAGAAGAUGGCAGUGCGACGGCAGCACACGCAGCCACUUCGGUGGUGAUGUCUGUUAUUUGUCAAGUAGGGUGCCGUACACAAUCCUGAUUUGAUGGAGACAGACGUGAGAGUGCAGAGGAACAUCUGGAAAACUUCUGGAAUGCCCGCUUCGCUGCCGCUGCUGCUGUGUGGUAACUGGAAUCUCCGGAGCAGAAGGACCCGAAAUCCUCGGCUCUGCAUGUUUCAGCGGCCGGGGCAAGAUUGAAGGCGCUCGGCAGAGGAUGGCGCUCGGGAGGCUGUAUCAGAGAGGCUGGUCAGAAGCUCAAAGCUUUCGGACGGAUGGACUCAGUGUCAGCUGUGGUCGGCUGCUUCCAAGGUAUCGACAAGUUGACGGUGCCUGGAGGUUUAUGGCAGGGAGUUUCUCCCUUUUGCCGCCGCUAUCGGGGACUCGGGAGGCGAUCAACUCGGGACUUUUGAGACUUUAUUUACCGUGCCCAUGGUUUGUUCUUCAUCAAAUUAUGGUAUUGCUUUGCACUGCUGUAACUAUAUGUUAUAAUUAUGUGGUUCUGUCAGUGUUAGUCUUUGGUUUGUCCUGUUUUCUGUGAUAUCACUCCGGAGAAACAUUGUAUCAUUUCUUAAUGCAUGUAUGCAUUUCUAAAUGACAAUAAAAGAGGACUGAGUGUUCUCAUGAUCUAAAAAGAGCUCUUCAAUGACCCAGGGAACUGCAAGUUGUAAGAUGUUGCAAAUAGUUCCCAUUCCAUCAUGGAGUUCAUGAGCUUGGAUUCCUCUCAUAGAUGCUGCCUGACCUGCUGAGUUCCUCCAGCACUUCGUGGGCGUUGCUCUGGAUUUCCUGCAUCUGCAGAAUUCCUUUACGUUUAUGAACCUGCAAUUUAUAACUAGCAAUUUGGCAGUCACGGACCUUGCUCUGCAUGAGGCUGGCUGUGGCUGCUCUAAGUGGUAGGUAUGGGUGAGGUCAUCCUUACUCAAGCACAGACAUCUCAUAGGGUCCUCUUCACUGAGUUCUCAGUGGAGGAGUUAGUCAGUGACUGCCCUAAACGGACAUUUGCCUUGAAAUUCAUUAGUGCCUAACAGGUUAUGGAGGGUGAAGAAUUCCCAGUUCUCUUAGCCAACAUCCCUGUUAGUUUGAAAGACUCCACUAAGCAAUUUGCUGUUCAUUUGUACUAAACACUGGGCAUGUGCUAUGGCUCACAGUACUAGCCUAUGUAAAGGCUGAAAUGUACACUACAGAUCUUUAGCAUAUCUUAAAUAGCAGAAAAUAAGCUAUGUACUGUAUAUUCCAGGGAUUCUUCCUAAAAUAGUUACAUAUUUUAACUUUCAUUUACAUGAUAUAAAGUGAAAUCAUUGCAAAAUAUCCUAAGAUGUGCUUUAAAAUGUUGUCGGUCCAGUGUGAGUUCCACUGAGCCUGCGUGAAACCGACAGCAGGCAUUAGACUUGUGCCCUACCCACAGAGUAAUCAAUUGAUUAAAAAUUAAUGGUUAGCUUUGUUUGUCACACGUGCAUCGAAACGUACAGUGAAGUGAAUAGUUGGCAUCAAAUCCAGUCAGUGAGGAUAGUGGUGGGGGCAAGUGUGGCCACGCUUCCUGCCAAAACGUAGCAUGCCCACAGCUCACCGGCCCCAACUGGAUAUCUUUGGAACGUGGAAGGAAGCCGAGGUGGUCACAGGCAGAACUCCAAUACAGACAACGACGGCAAUCAAACCCCGAUCGGGUAGCCGCUGGCGUUGUAAAGCAGUUGUGCUAACCACUACACUACCGUGCGGCCCAGCAGGUUUCAGACACGGAAAUGCCAAUAAUUUCUAGACUCUGUCCCAAAAGGCAUCGCCUUUACUCGGCGAUAUAGAUUACUAAUAAGGUAGAGUCAGAUGUGCUUGAUAUCAUCCUGCUGGUGUCUGUCCGUCACCACAGCGUUAUCAACAACCCAGUGUACCCUGGUGAGCCUGCAGUGUAAACAGGGCAAGAUCUGUUAAUUAUCUGUGUGAUACCUGGAUUGAACUUUACCCAAGUCACUCCAAGUGGUAGUAAAAUGUGUUUUAACAUGCUGCCGCAACUAACAGAUAGCAGGAGUCUGCUUCUUAAAAUUCUUGCAUAUGUUUAUGUAAAAUUAACAUCAAGUAAGGUGACAGGAUGGUAUCCACAAAACGCUGAAUUGACUUUCCCAAUCCCACAGGCCUGCAACGAAUUCAUUAAUGAGAAAUUAAAAGAUAAAAUGGCUAGGAAAUUGCACCUCUUAAAAUAAAAAUCCAUCUGCUCAUUGAUUAAUGUUUGCAACUUUUGUUGUGUUCAUGAAGAAAGCAGAGGCAAUGUUGUUACUUGUUCCUCUGGGUUUGAAAAGAUGUGGUGAGAUAUAUUAAUAAUCAUUUCUAUCAUCUUAUCUGGUUUAGUUCUAUCUUUCUUUUAAUGAUACAUAUAAAUGAUUUGAUCUUACAUGAUUGGGUCCCAACUGGCAGUGUGUGAUCAAAUCACAAACAAGAGAAAAUGUGCAGUUGCUGGAAAUCCAAGCAACACACACAAAAUGCUGGAAAGGCCCGAAAAAUUGAUGGUACUCUUUUCCAUAGAUGCUACCUGGCCUGCUGAGUUCCUCCAGCAUUUUGUGUGUGCAGAAAGUUCUUAGCAACAAGCAGACUGGUUAGGCUGACAUAGAAGAGGCAACUGGAAUUCAAAUCAGGAAAGUGUGAGGUAAUACAUUAGGUGAAGGGAAACAAGACCAAGGAUCAUAUGAUAAAUUGUUGGAUACGAAGAGGUGCAGAGCAUUAAGGGAUCUUUAUUCAUUUAUUCACGUAGCGAUACAGCGCAGAACAGGCUUCUCCAGCCCAAUGAGCAGUACCGACCAGCAACGCAUCUAUUUAACGCUAGUCUAGUCACAGGACAAUUUACAAUAACCAAUUAACUUACUAACCAGUACAUCUCUGCACUGUGGGAGGAAACUGGAUCACCUGGGGAAAACCCAUGCAGUUCACAGGGAGAGCGUACAAACUCAUCACAGUUGGCGCUGGAGUUGAACUCCAAACUCUGGAACUCCAUCCCUGAACUGUUCCCACAACCUAUAGACUCUCUUUCAAGGACUCUUCAUCUCAUGUUCUCAAUAUUUAUUGCUUCUUUUUUUAUUAUUUCUCUUUUCCUUUCUUUUUGUAUUUGCACACGUUUCUUGUUGCCUUUUACACAUUGGUUGUUUGGUCAUUCUGCUGGUGUGGUCCUUCAUUAAUUCUAUUGUGUUUCCUGUAUUUACUGUGAAUAUGCACAAGAAAAGAGGUCUCAGGGUUGUAUGUGGUGAUGUAUGUGUACUUCAAUAAAAAAAAUUACUUUGAACCUUGAACCUUCUGGGACCUCUACUUCUCGUGAUUUUUAUUAACAACCUGGAUGUAGGGGUAGAAGGGUGGGUUGGCAAGUUUGCAGACAACACAAAGUUUGGUGGUGUUGUGGAUAAUGUAGAGGAUUGUCGAAGAUUGCAGAGAGACGUUGAUAGGAUGCAGAAGUGGGCUGAGAAGUGGCAGAUGGAGUUCAACCCAGAGACGUGUGAGGUGGUACACUUUGGAAGGAUAAACUCCAAGGCAGAGUACAAAGUAAAUGGCAGGAUACUUGGUAGUGUGGAGGAGCAGAGGGAUCUGGAGGUACAUGUCCACAGAUCCCUGAAAGUUGCCUCACAGGUAGAUAGGGUUGUUAAGAAAGCUUAUGGGGUGUUAGCUUUCAUAAGUCGAAGGAUAGAGUUUAAGAGUCGCGAGGUAAUGAUGCAGCU